rnacentral:rRNA from 1 species
UACGAAGGGGGCUAGCGUUGCUCGGAAUCACUGGGCGUAAAGGGUGCGUAGGCGGGUCUUUAAGUCAGGGGUGAAAUCCUGGAGCUCAACUCCAGAACUGCCUUUGAUACUGAGGAUCUUGAGUCCGGGAGAGGUGAGUGGAACUGCGAGUGUAGAGGUGAAAUUCGUAGAUAUUCGCAAGAACACCAGUGGCGAAGGCGGCUCACUGGCCCGGUACUGACGCUGAGGCACGAAAGCUAGGGGAGCGAAUGGG